GAUGAACGCUGGCGGCGUGCCUAAUACAUGCAAGUCGAGCGAACAGACGAGGAGCUUGCUCCUCUGACGUUAGCGGCGGACGGGUGAGUAACACGUGGAUAACCUACCUAUAAGACUGGGAUAACUUCGGGAAACCGGAGCUAAUACCGGAUAAUAUAUUGAACCGCAUGGUUCAAUAGUGAAAGACGGUUUUGCUGUCACUUAUAGAUGGAUCCGCGCCGCAUUAGCUAGUUGGUAAGGUAACGGCUUACCAAGGCAACGAUGCGUAGCCGACCUGAGAGGGUGAUACGGCCCACUGGAACUUGGACACGGGCCAGACUCCUACGGGAGGGAGCAGUUGGGAAUCUUCCGGAAUGGGGGAAAGCCUGACGGGGCAACGCCGCGGGAGGUAAGAAGGGUUUCGGAUCGUAAAACCCUUUUUUUUGGGAAAAAAAAAAGUGGAAGGAACUAUGCACGGUUUGACGGGACCUAAUCAAAAAGCCCCGGCUAACUACGUG
rnacentral:rRNA from 1 species